CUCGUAGGCGGUUUGUUACGUCCGCUGUGAAAACCCAGGGCUUAACCCUGGGCUUGCAGUGGAUACGGGCAGACUAGAGGUAGGUAGGGGAGAAUGGAAUUCCCGGUGUAGCGGUGAAAUGCGCAGAUAUCGGGAGGAACACCGGUGGCGAAGGCGGUUCUCUGGGCCUUACCUGACGCUGAGGAGCGAAAGCGUGGGGAGCGAACAGGAUUAGAUACCCUGGUAGUCCACGCCGUAAACGUUGGGCGCUAGGUGUGGGGUCCUUCCACGGAUUCCGUGCCGCAGCUAACGCAUUAAGCGCCCCGCCUGGGGAGUACGGCCGCAAGGCUAAA
rnacentral:rRNA from 1 species